rnacentral:rRNA from 1 species
GGAAUUUUGGACAAUGGGCGAAAGCCUGAUCCAGCCAUGCCGCGUGAGUGAAGAAGGCCUUCGGGUUGUAAAGCUCUUUCAGUCGGAAAGAAAAGGCGUGCUCUAACAUAGCGCGUCGAUGACGGUACCGACAGAAGCAGCACAGGCUAACUACGUGCCAGCAGCCGCGUUAAUACGUAGGGUGCGAGCGUUAAUCGGAAUUACUGGGCGUAAAGCGUGCGCAGGCGGUUGUGUAAGACAGGUGUGAAAUCCCCGGGCUUAACCUGGGAACUGCGCUUGUGACUGCACGGCUAGAGUACGGCAGAGGGGGGUGGAAUUCCACGUGUAGCAGUGAAAUGUGUAGAUAUGUGGAGGAACACCGAUGGCGAAGGCAGCCCCCUGGGCCGAUACUGACGCUCAUGCACGAAAGCGUGGGGAGCA